UUACUUGCUUCGGUUUCCUAGUGUGCUCGUCACAUUCCACCCUACUAUCCUUAGCAAUGAAAAUAUUUAUUUCUGCUUUAAAUAUAAUGAACACUUUGCAUUAUAAUCGGAUUAAAAAUAGCUAAUGUCGUUUGCUUGUUUUUCGUCAUUCGUAAACUUAUUCUGAAUUGCUUUGACAGAGGCCCAGGUACGAGUACAAGCAUAAAGAAAACAGCUUGCGAUAAGAGCAGCGAGCGAAAGCUUUAGAAUAUUGUAAAUUCAUUCAAAAGUACAUAUUUCAAUGAUGAAAUAUUCCCUGCCAGAUGCCCAAUACAACAGAGUGGACGACCAGAGUAGAGUGGAUGAAAGGUCGAAUUGAAGUGCUGCCAGCUUGAUAUCAUCAAAAAAUCAAAUAUUAACCAGUCGAAACGUAUGGCCAUAUUAAUACUCAUCAAUCUACUCGGUUUUUACAAAUCGAAGCACUUAAAAAUCGCGUCCAUUCCGGCUAUAAUAAUACUUAUUCCGAUCGCAAAGUGGUUCUGCAAUCUAGUAGAUAUAAUCUUUCUUCACGAGUCUCCGGAUUUCCCCUAUCUGUCUAUAAACGUUUCACUCACCAGUGUGUGGGUGUAGCCAAGACCCUCUUCCAUAUCUCCCUCGACCGUGGGGCUCUGCUCUCCACGAUGGUGAGGAUGAUGACCCAUAUUUGAGUACAGCGAGGACGCAUUGGAAUGUGUACGCACAGGGUGGUGUAUCCGGGCUGAGGCCGAUGAUGGUGCGACUAGCAGGGAUUCGCUUUCGUUUUUGUUUACUUUCGCCAUUUCUUAUAUCUUAUAUCUCUCGACUUCCACGCACGAAAAGCUCUUAAAUUUGGAAUUUUAUCAGCAUUCGUCACUUGUGAAUGCCCAUGGAAUCACAUUCGUCACAUGAAUUGAAUUUAAAAGCAAGAGAAAAAGCAAAUUUCUUGGGCUCUUUUCUACAUUAAGUCCAAUUAGCACAAUGUAAAAUGCACUUGUGUUGCAGCACACGAUGAUGGCGAAGUCACAAGAUCGACUUCCUUUCGAGAUCCAAGGGCUCGAGCUCGGGCGACGAGUAGGUGGGUAGGUGGCAACUGAUGGAGCUCUGAUCUGAGCUCUGUGGCGUGCAGAGUUGAUUCACGAAUCUUGUACUUUCAGUUGCACCAGUAACUUCUGCUGUCCAACGACUGUGACGACGACGACGACGACGACGUCUCCGUUGCCUGGGAAACUUCUACUGAUAUCGCGCUACCGUCUACCGGCUACCGGCCACCAUUGCCGCUCUCUGGUGUUAUCUGUAGAAAUCACUUUUUACUCUUGUCUACCCUUUGGGCCGAAUCCGACUGGCGAUAAGGGAGUGUUUAAGAGGUUUUUUGUAUAGCCAAUAGCCAUGUGUACAUUUCAAGUGGCGCACUUAACUGUGUGAAGGCUUAAUUAACAGCAGCAAUAACGACCAUAACAAUGGCACAUCGGAAUACCUCACAGGUCUCACAGGUUAAUUAUAUUCUUAUCAAAAUAUAUUUGGGAUAUCACUUGCAAUGCCACUGAGAAACCGAUCUGGAAUGAGGAGGAAAUGUACAAGUAAUAUGAAAACAUGGUUUAUGUUUGUUCUGAUUUUCCCCACAAUAAAGCAAGUAGCUUCCGACUGAACGAUUAGACGCCA